rnacentral:rRNA from 2 species
AUAUUAAAGUUGUUGCAGUUAAAAAGCUCGUAGUUGGAUUUCUGGUAGGAGCGGCCGAUCCGCCCCGUUAGGGGUGUGCAUUAGCGCUGUCUCUGGCCAUCCUUGGGGGAACUGCGCGGGGAGACUUGCGUUCGGGAACCCAUCGUUUACUGUGAAAAAAUUAGAGUGUUUAAAGCAGGCUUAUGCCGUUGAAUACAUUAGCAUGGAAUAAUAAGAUAGGACCGCGUGGUCGUCUUGUUGGUUUGCACCGCGAGGUAAUGAUUAAUAGGUACAGUUGGGGGUAUUCGUAUUUAAUUGUCAGAGGUGAAAUUCUUGGAUUUAUGAAAGACGAACUUCUGCGAAAGCAUUUACCAAGGAUGUUUUCAUUAAUCAAGAACAAAAGUUAGGGGAUCGAAGAUGAUUAGAUACCAUCGUAGUCUUAACCAUAAACUAUGCCGACUAGGGAUUGGCGGUCGUUUCUUUUGACCCCGUCAGCACCUUAUGAGAAAUCAAAGUCUUUGGGUUCCGGGGGGAGUAUGGUCGCAAGGCUGAAACUUAAAGGAAU